rnacentral:rRNA from 1 species
UGGGGAAUAUUGGACAAUGGGGGCAACCCUGAUCCAGCAAUGCCGCGUGUGUGAAGAAGGUCUUCGGAUUGUAAAGCACUUUCGACGGGGACGAUGAUGACGGUACCCGUAGAAGAAGCCCCGGCUAACUUCGUGCCAGCAGCCGCGGUAAUACGAAGGGGGCUAGCGUUGCUCGGAAUGACUGGGCGUAAAGGGCGUGUAGGCGGUUUACACAGUCAGAUGUGAAAUCCCCGGGCUUAACCUGGGAGCUGCAUUUGAUACGUGUAGACUAGAGUGUGAGAGAGGGUUGUGGAAUUCCCAGUGUAGAGGUGAA